CAUAGAGGACUGUCAUAGAGGACUGUCAUAGAGGACUGUCAUAGAGGACUGUCAUAGAGACUGUCAUAGAGGACUGUCAUAGAGGACUGUCAUAGAGGACUGUCAUAGAGGACUGUCAUAGAGGACUGUCACAUCCAUCAGAGAGUGAAUACCAAGCCAUGACCCAGAACAAGUAUUUUCAUACUUCCCCAGUUCCCACCCCACGUCCUGCCACAACACACACACACACACACAUGCACACGGACACGCGCACGCACGCACGCGCACGCACGCACACACACACACACACACACACACACACACACACACACACACACGCACGCAGAGGGACUGUGGCUAGCCCUGCAUUUCUCCAUGCCAAUCAAUUAGAGGCCUCCCUAAAGCCUCAUGACUGAGGUUUCUAAUAAGAGGCAGCGCACAGGGACUCACAGUAAUUCACAUGGAAAGGCUGCUGGCUGAAUGGUUGGCUGGGUAGCAGGCUGGUUGGCUGGGUAGCUGGCUGGCUGGUUGGCUGGGUAGCUGGCUGGCUGGUUGGCUGGGUAGCUGGUUGGCUGGCUGGGUGGCUGGCUGGUUGGCUGGUUGGCUGGGUAGCUGGCUGGCUGGUUGGCUGGGUAGCUGGCUGGCUGGUUGGCUGGGUAGCUGGCUGGGUAGCUGGAUGGUUGGCUGGUUGGCUGGGUAGCUGGUCACACAGACCAGAACAAGGUCCAUGUUCAUUAGGAAUGGUAAAAUUAGUCUUCAAAUGGAAUAUGAAUAUGAGCAUUCUUAUACCCCAUCAUAUGUUCAUGUUGCCUGUGCUGUUCUCACCUCUGGCCUUGUGUUACUGGCCCAGCUCUCCUUCAGGUCUUGUGAGGCAGAAUAGAAAUGGCCUAUCGCCCAUUUGUGUCUCUGUCCCUUUUGGUUCUGUAAACCAUUUGGGUCUGUGCUGUGUGAUUGGUCCAUCAAUCAGGAGCCAUUAGCAGCUAUCCAGAGCCAUGUGGUCUUUGUGUGACUGAAUAAAGUAGCUCACCUGCAGGGUUAUUGGGAUUGCUCAGUGGGCUAUUACCCAACCACACCACACGUACACCUGUCAGUCAAAGCUACUGCCCCGCAUCUGUCAUUACUGGCUGGCCCGACGUAUAUGUGCAUGCAUGCAUACACACACACACACGCACAGACGCGCACGGACGCAGGCGCGCACACACGCACGCACGCUCACACAUACACAAUGCGGUACCACUCCACACUAAUGAGUCCCACAAUCUGAUGAGAGAGGUGGGGACCAGC
ensembl:lncRNA